rnacentral:rRNA from 1 species
AGUGAACGCUGGCGGUAGGCCUAACACAUGCAAGUCGAACGGCAGCACAGUAAGAGCUUGCUCUUACGGGUGGCGAGUGGCGGACGGGUGAGGAAUACAUCGGAAUCUACUUUUUCGUGGGGGAUAACGUAGGGAAACUUACGCUAAUACCGCAUACGACCUACGGGUGAAAGCAGGGGAUCUUCGGACCUUGCGCGAUUGAAUGAGCCGAUGUCGGAUUAGCUAGUUGGCGGGGUAAAGGCCCACCAAGGCGACGAUCCGUAGCUGGUCUGAGAGGAUGAUCAGCCACACUGGAACUGAGACACGGUCCAGACUCCUACAGGAGGCAGCAGUGGGGAAUAUUGGACAAUGGGCGCAAGCCUGAUCCAGCCAUACCGCGUGGGUGAAGAAGGCCUUCGGGUUGUAAAGCCCUUUUGUUGGGAAAGAAAAGCAGCAGGUUAAUACCCCGCUGUCCUGACGGUACCCAAAGAAUAAGCACCGGCUAACUUCGUG